UAUGUAUAUAAAUGCCUGGUAGUCAUGGUAAUGUUAUGAAUACACAUGGGUCCUUUCUAGUGUUUCCGCUCUGUAUUAAAGAAGGUUAGUUUAAAAUUAACUUCACCCCCAACAUCUUGAUCUCUGGAGUUCAGCUGGCAGGGCUCAUCUGGAUAUGGAAACUGUUCUUUACUUGGACUUGAACAUUUUCUGUUUGUUCCUGUGAGCUUGUUUAGUUUGGGAUUAGGAAUGUGUUUUUGGCCAAGUUGAAAACUUGCUGUUUUUUAAGCUGCAUUGUUUCAUGGACUUCAACAUAUACCAAGUGAAGAGUUUUGGUCCCCAGAGCCUAGAGGAAGAGUUGAGAGGCACAGGAUCCACGUUGCUUGAGCUCCAUUGUGAAGUUUCCACAGUCAGUGAUGAUUGGAAGAGCCAUGUCAUCUGCUGGUGUUGGUCCACCGGGUUUUAUCAAGUCGAAAGUCAGAGCAGCUGUCUGUCAGAAUAUUUUAGAGCAUUUCCUUUUGCUGACGAAAUGUAUGGAGAACUUGGUACCGGCCCACACUGACAAAGGUACCACAAUCUGGUUCAGUGACUAUGGUGUUACUGUGCUUUAUCCUGUAUGGAUUAUUAUCAAGAGAUGAUCGACAACAGAGCCAACAAUGGUCUGAUGUUGGUUUUAUGUAAUUUGUAUGUAAUUUAUUGUUUAAACUGAAAUGUUAAAUUAACAGAAAUAAAUGCUUGAAUUACAUCACUCUGUAUGUGAGGAAUCUGGA